GGCCACAAUACCAGCCAGGACAAGGAGGCGAGGAACACAUGCUUGGGGAAACCAAAGGAGUGAGCAGAAGAUGGUUUCUUCACACGCACAGAUACCUAUCAAGUGCCAAGUACGUGCCCAACGCUGUCCCAGCUGCGGACGGUAGAGCAGCACACAAAAUCUCUGCCGUCAGGGUGAGAAGCUUAUCUGCUUCUACAAGGUAUGCGUAUUUGUCAGUGUACCUCUACACCUGUGUGCCUGUAUGUAUAUGUCUGUAUCUGUGUAUCUCUGUCUAUGCCAUGUGACGACCAUGGGUGUGCAUAAGGACUUGACAGCUGGGAGAGAGAGAAAGCCAGGUAAAGAGGGAUGUGAAGCAGGAGUGCCCGGGGUGGGGGCGGGGGAGAACCUGGACGUUAGCUCUGUUUUACGGAUGGGAAGUGGCGUUCCCUAGAGGGCGCUUGUAACCAAGAGAGGCCAAUACAUGCUUGGCACCUCCACGAGGACCCGGAUCAGAGAGGUGUCGUCAUUGUCCCCGCUGUACAGUUAACAAACCUGAGGGCCCACGCGGUCAACAGACUGCCCGAGUCCCGACUUUGCUUCACAUGAGCUGUGUGACCUGAGGCAAAUUGCUUAGAAAUGUGCCAAGUCUUCAACAUCCCAUGUGUGCGUUACCCUCGGGGCAGGGCACACUCAGGAAGGACUAAGCACACACCCGGCGCUCAGCAGCCACCUGCGGCUGUGGGCUGGACAGCGCGUGUCCACGGAAUGGGGAUGGUGAGGACAAGGUGGGGAUCAGAGCGGAAUGAAAUGAGUGAGGCGCCUGCCUUGGGAAAACGAAAACCGUAAGGGAGCACCAAAAACACCGGGAAUACCUCCUCAUCAAGACAAUAAAUACUAUUAAAAUAGUAUUUCUCUUGAUGACUGAA